CCCUGCUCAGAAACACGCGGCGCCUGUACAGCCGCCAGCGCUGCUCUCACAUCCUCCCGACGCGCGCACUCAGUCAAAAACGACGGCUGGCGGAGGGGGGGGGGGGCGUAGAGCCAAAAUAGCGGCCGUCGUCCCUGGGUGGGCUCGAACCACCAACCUUUCGGUUAACAGCCGAACGCGCUAACCGAUUGCGCCACAGAGACUGCCCCUGCAUUCCGCCUUGGCGGCACGGCUGAUGCGGGCGCUGCCCAGCGCUGCAGCCGCGCCGCUCUCCUCCGCCCGGCUGAGCGAAACGAAACGAAACGCAACGCGGCUGCUCAGCGCUACGCCCCGUGCGGCCUUAAAAGAGGGCCGAGCCAACAGUGGCAACAGCGGGUUACCUUAACUUAGGCGAUCCGAAAUGCUGAUCCCUCAUAGCGGGCUUUAACUGGGUGGGCUUUAAGGUUCCUUCCAACCCAAGCCGUUCUCUGGUUCUAUGACAUACAUUGACAAACCGGUGUUACGACAGUCUCCUCGGGGCUGGUACUACUUCAGCCAUUACACGUGCAGGACAAACUCUUAUUCCUAAAUAUCACGGCAAAACCACCCUAUGAAUAUAUUCAAGGGCAAUGAGAAGUGGCUGCAGGGAACUGUUAUUUCGGAAAGUAACCUUCCAGAAGCGCCUUCCUGUGCUCACAGAGCUCAGCUAUGUUUAUCCCGCUGGGUGACCAAACGUAGCAGAAGAAAAGCUGGCAUUUCCAUUCCUAUUUUAUCCACAUUUACUUCCCACCUUCCCGUAUAACAAAUCAGUGCCCGUGGCUUUGCCAAGUACAAAGCUCUCGCACUCAAACACGAGCAGAUGUUUUCCUCUUCUCUUUCACAGCCCUCCUGGAUCUCCAUGAAGCCCUACAACACUCCUUGCUUCGCACUCUCCCCCACCUCCGUGGAGCUCUGCCUGGCGGUUGCUGCCUGCAGAAAGCCCAGAGCCCAACAUCUGAAGGAUGUUUUAAAGCGUGGGGGGUUGCAUCAUGGCCAGAGCACGGCUAUUUGCAGCGUCACAAGAGCAGCUCCCAGGCUGCACCACGUCAGGUUUCUGCAUGCAGGAGGACAAACGCACAGCACUGUGAUGUACACCCAUCUGCCUUCCUGUACGAGCAAAUGGGUGCACGCACAGGGGUGGAAAUGGCAAGUACUACACUGAAGAAAGGCCUAUGCUUGGGCACAGAUUUGGGGCCCUGAAACAUUUUCCCAUCACCUGAAUGAACGCAAACUUGGACAGUGGCAAAAUCUGACUACAGGCCAGACCUAAAUAGGGCAUUUAGAUGUGCUGACCCUGAGCACAGCUCUAAGUCUCACAUGCCUGAGAGGAACAUGGGAACUGCCAAUGGAUGUCCAAGGCUCAUCUGGCCCAUAGGGACCAGGGCAGCAAAAGAUCUGGGCAUGGAUGACUUCCAGUGUCUUCUAAAGCACUACCCGGUGAGCCGGCAUAGCAGAGAGCAGCGUGGCUUACCUCUGUAAAUGGAGAAGUCUGAGUGUCUGCUCUCUGGAGAGGCCUUCUGACUACACCUCCAGGAUAGGAAGAUGCCAAGUACUGCUUAUGGUGUUCUACUUCAGCUACUGCUUGCCACCAAAAGAUCCUGUGUGUCUUCUUCUGAAAAGUAUCGUUUCAGUCCUUAGCAGAAGCAGGGCAUUAAAAUAGAAGAAUAGCUAACAUGCAAUAUUGCUGUUAAAAUUAUUAAAAAUGGAGAAUAAAAUUUGCAUUACAAAAUGUUUAUUUUCUGCAGCUGCAGACAUCCAGCCACGAGAAGUAUUAUUUCUGAAGGAUUCAAGAUGUUGGAAGAAACAGUUACAGACAGCCUUCCUCCAGCAGCUUCAAAACUUCUGUUCUAUUCAUUCUCCAAAUAAAAUAAAAUUAGAGGUAUUUUUAUUCAA
ensembl:lncRNA